CGGGGUGUCGUAUAUCGGUAGUACGCUUGCUUUGGGAGCAAGAUGGCCCAGUUCGAUUCUGGGCACCCCGA
rnacentral:tRNA from 1 species